UGUGUAAGAGUUCAUGCGCAUGCUUUGAAGAAAUACACUUACGGGAAACACAUUGUGGCUCGAUUCGAGCAGCAAUUUGGAGAAGAAAAUCCUACAUCUGGAACCUGAUAAAAAAACAGGGGGAAUCAUCCAUGCCUCUUGUUGGUGUUGCUGUGGCCUGUCUGGUUCUUGCAUCAGUGAAAAGAAAGGAAUAUCAUGAGAUAAGUACAUGCUUCUCAAGAAGGCCGCCCCCUCUGCUUUCAAUUAUGAAAUUUGGUAGCUUCCAUCCAGGGAAGUUUUAACAAGUUCAAUCAUUAGUAGAAUGGUUGAUGCUGUAAAGUAAACUAUAUAUAAAUAUGUAUGUAUAUUUCAAACAGUAUGUUUUUAUAUGGUUACUGUAGGGUGAUUGGUUUGCAAGGGUAAUUAUUUGGAAGGAGAACCUUCCUAAGCUGUAAAAUUCUUUACUGGAUUUAUCUUGCAUUGUGUGUAUGGUUUCCAAAAUAA